rnacentral:lncRNA from 1 species
CUCUAACUACCACUGAAAGCCAUCUGACCACCCCUGUUCUCAGGACAGGCGAGAACCUCUACUCGCAAUAAAGAUGAUGGAGCUGAGUAAGAAAAAACAGUAAGGAGUUACCCAAAGCCAAAUCGAGAAAGAAAUGAGAGCCCCUUCAAAUGGAAGCUGGUACUACCUCUGCUGAGUUGCAUAAGAAAGAACAGAAGGAAUGACUUCUCUCUACUCAUGGUCACAGCCACUUUUGAUUGGCCCCUUCUGGCAGGGCACAUGACUUGGGAUCACCUCUUCUUUCACAAGCAGCUCCCCUUGUAUGCAGCCAUGCAUCUGAGGUGGCCAAAGAGAAAAGGGUUGAGGAAAUGGUCAUAGGAGGGAAGUUUCUAGAAGUGGAAGUGUUAUUUGUUGGCUUUCUGAAUAAAGCUAAUAAAAUCUACA